CCCUUAGAUGUUCGGGGCCGCACGCGCGCUACACUGAAGGAAUCAGCACGUCUUUCUCCUUGUCCGAAAGGACUGGGUAACCCGCUGAACCUCCUUCGUGCUAGGGAUUGGGGCUUGUAAUUCUUCCCCAUGAACGAGGAAUUCCCAGUAAGCGCGAGUCAUAAGCUCGCGUUGAUUACGUCCCUGCCCUUUGUACACACCGCCCGUCGCUACUACCGAUUGGAUGGUUUAGUGAGAUCCUCGGAUGGGUCCCGGCGCGGCCUCUGGUCGUGCCGGAGUGCCGAAAAGAAUGUCGAACUUGAUCAUCUAGAGGAAGUAAAAGUCGUAACA
rnacentral:rRNA from 1 species